CAGAGGUGGCAAGCGUUGUUCGGAUUUAUUGGGCGUAAAGGGUCCGUAGGCGGUACGAAAAGUCAGAUGUGAAAGCCCACAGCUCAACUGUGGAACUGCAUUUGAAACUUUCGAACUAGAGUAUGAGAGGGUAAAGGGAAUUCCCGGUGUAAGGGUGAAAUCUGCAGAGAUCGGGAGGAACACCAGUCGCGAAGGCGCUUUACUGGCUCAUUACUGACGCUCAGGGACGAAAGCUAGGGUAGCAAACGGGAUUAGAUACCCCGGUAGUCCUAGCCGUAAACUAUGGUCACUAGGUGUUGGGAGGGUUAAACCUUUCAGUGCCGUCGCUCACGCAUUAAGUGACCCGCCUGGGGAGUACGGUCGCAAGGCUG
rnacentral:rRNA from 1 species